CUUACUAUUUUUUAUCACUCACACAUAUCGACACAUUCUCCGGGGUGCUCGUCAGCCUUACGCGAGGCUGUUAAUUUGCUUUAUGGCAGGUUAUACGGGUCGGUUGAAUGGGAUAUGUGGACGCCUAAC
rnacentral:sRNA from 1 species